UACACUACUAAAAUCAGCUUCUUUGCCGUCCGUCACGGCGGACUGCAAAGGCACAGAUCCCAGAUGGCAAAGUCCUUUGCCGUCAGCCAACGGACGGCAAACAGUCCGGCUGAACAGGCUACGGCAAAGGCUUCUUUGCCGUCAGCCGGCGGACGGCAAAGAGCCUGCAGUCUUUGCCGUCAGCCGGCGGACGGCAAAGAGCCAACAGCCUUUGCCGCCAGCCAGCGCAAAGGGCAUGGCUCUUUGCCAUCUGCUCGCAGAUGGCAAAGAGCCUAUAUUGCCCCAUUUAAUUCUAGUUUUUCUUAUAUCAGUUCAUUUCCACAGAAAAUCACACACACACACACUACCAAUAGUCAUGAACACAUAUAUAUCCAACACAUAUCCAUGAACACAUAUCCAACACAUGUUACCAAUAAUAGCAAGUACUCCAUAUCUAAAAUUACAAGAAAUGACCUAAAACUAAAUAUCUAUUUUCCUAAAAACUAUCUUAUUACUAAGAUCUUCUCUGGAUCUUCUUCUUUUCUUCCAACCUGCAUAACAAAAACACUAAGAAAGAGAGAAUGGUUUAGGAGUAGAAAUGUAGCAUUUAAAUUGGUGAAAUGCAAUGCUGUAGGAGCCAACACUUGACUUCAAGUAUCAACUGUUGGACGACAAUAGGUGUCAACUGUGACCUCACUUCCAGGUCGGUUGCCAAGGAGAAUAUCUUGUUGUGAAAUAUGGUCCUGAACCUGGGCAAUCAGACAUGCUUCCCCACAUAGGCACAUACGCACAGUCUGAAGUCAAUAUAAGUUAUGAACAUAGAGAGACAUAAGAUAUAACUAACACAUAAGUAACACUUUAUUAGAAACAAAGGAAUGCAUAAUUAACAAGACAAAUACUGCAGACACAAUAUUUUCCAAUGAUAAUUUGGUAAUGCAUCUGUCAACGAAUUAUUAAGCUAUUGAUUAGCCUAUAUCUCUAAGAAGAGCUGAUUAAAGUAUUAAAUUAUUGCAGGCCCUAAGUUCAUCAAAUAAGAAAAUCAUAUGCGGUUCCAAAAUUGGGGAUGAAAUAAAUGUGUGUGUACCUAAUGGAAUCACAGCAGCGAAAUGUGGAGGUAGAACAUAACAGCAGCGCCGUGGCAAUCGUCGCCGAGGAAGACAACGCGUAAAAACACGGGAAUACUCCUCUUCUGCCGUGGACGCCGCUGCUGUCCGUCAGCGCGCAGAGGGACACGGCCAGUGGAGCGGAGAGGAGGAGGAUCUAGUUGGAGAGUGACUUGGACCCUGGCAGCUGCACGGCGCCGGAGAUCUCACGGAUGGGCUGCAGCACGACCCUGGCGGCUGAUGGGCUUGGCCGGCUCUGCUCCGGCGAGGGGCGUCACACCGGCGAGGAGGAGGGCCUGUGCGGCGAGGAGGAGGCUGGAUCCGGAGUGGCCGGACCUCCCGCGGCCGGAUCUUGGCGCGAGGCUGCGUGGGAUGGCGGCGGUGACGCGGGGACGCGGGCGUGGCGCAGAAGAGCUCGCUGCUCGGCUCCCAUGGCAGCGGCGGAUCUCGAGGUCGGGGCGACCGGCGACGAGGCUUCCGCAGCGGGGCGGCGAGCUUGUGGGGAUGUGGCGGCGCGUGAGCGGUGCAGGCGGCAGCGCGAGGCGACAGGGCUCCUGGGGUCCGGUGAGGUGGUGGCACGCACCGGCGGGCGGAGGCGAGGUGGCGCAGCAGCGUGGGGUCAAGGGAGGCCGCCGUAGCUGCUCGCGCGAGGGAGAGGGAGAGACGAGUGGGGGAGAGAGAGGGAUGGGCUGAGAGAGAGGGGAAAGAAAUAGAGGUGGAGAAACAGGGUUUUUUUUAUCCGCAAAAAAAAAAAGAUAGCC
rnacentral:rRNA from 1 species